CUACGGGGCGCUGCAGUGGGGAAUAUUGCACAAUGGGCGCAAGCCUGAUGCAGCCAUGCCGCGUGUAUGAAGAAGGCCUUCGGGUUGUAAAGUACUUUCAGCGGGGAGGAAGGGAGUAAAGUUAAUACCUUUGCUCAUUGACGUUACCCGCAGAAGAAGCACCGGCUAACUCCGUGCCAGCAGCCGCGGUGAAUACGGAGGGUGCAAGCGUUAAUCGGAAUUACUGGGCGUAAAGCGCCCGCAGGCGGUUUGUUAAGUCAGAUGUGAAAUCCCCGGGCUCAACCUGGGAACGGCAUCUGAUACUGGCAAGCUUGAGUCUCGUAGAGGGGGGUAGAAUUCCAGGUGUAGCGGUGAAAUGCGUAGAGAUCUGGAGGAAUACCGGUGGCGAAGGCGGCCCCCUGGACGAAGACUGACGCUCAGGUGCGAAAGCGUGGGGAGCAAACAGGAUUAGAUACCCCGGUAGUC
rnacentral:rRNA from 1 species